rnacentral:lncRNA from 1 species
UCCCUGAAGUGGCAAAACAGAGGGAAUUAAGUGGAACCCUAGAAAGUGAGGCUGAGAUGAAGUUGAAGAAACAACUUUCUGAUGCAAAGACCAAGGAGCUUGUUGGCCAUGACAUCUUUGCUCCUCCACCUGAAAUUCAACCUCGUCCAUUGGCUGCUCGUGCAUUAGCACUAAGAGAAAGCAUUACCAUUGGAGAACCUGCAAAUAAUGGCCUCGUCCAUUGGCUGCUCGUGCGUUAGCACUAAGAGAAAGCAUUACCAUUGGAGAACCUACAAAUAAUGUAUGUACAUCUAUCAAUUUCUUUCGUUCAAUUUAUACAACAAGAACAACCUAGUAUAAUCUCACUUAGUGGGGUUUGGGGAGUGUAGUGUCUACGCACACCUUAUCACCUUAUCCCUACCCUGGGGUAGAGAGACUGUUUCCAAAUAGACCCUCGCCAUCCUUCCCUCCAAGACCUUAUAAACUUAUAAACUUGCAUAUUCCACAUUCUGCUUUGCAUUCCAUAGGUUCAAUCUUUAUCCAGUUACUUUUAGAGCGGCAAUUGUAUCAGGAGCAUAAAGGUUGAAAUUGACAAAGAACUAUCCUUUGCAUUAGUAGACUCUCUAAAUGAUCCCACAAGAAACUGUUCCAGUUAGUCUUUAAUCCUAAAAAUGUGGAGUUUCUGAGCGUGUUAUCAGGCUUUAACUGCAAAAUCUUGGCUUAGCUUAGCUUAACCUCCUCAGGACAGGGAGGAGAGAGGAGUUGAGUGCACAGACACUAGCUUAACAUCUGUCUUCUCAUUAUUUCUCCAUCCGAUUUUUGAUUCCCUUCACCAUUUGUCAGCAAAAUAUGUUCAGCCUCGUUCUUUUAAUCUUUUGUCAGG